rnacentral:rRNA from 1 species
UACGUAGGGUGCAAGCGUUGUCCGGAAUUAUUGGGCGUAAAGAGCUCGUAGGCGGUUUGUCGCGUCUGCGUGUGAAACCGGAGGCUCAACCUCCGGCCUGCAGUGGGUACGGGCAGACUAGAGUGCGGUAGGGGAGAUUGGAAUUCCUGGUGUAGCGGUGGAAUGCGCAGAUAUCAGGAGGAACACCGAUGGCGAAGGCAGAUCUCUGGGCCGGAUAACUGGACGCUGAGGAGCGAAAGCAUGGGGAGCGAACAGG